ensembl:misc_RNA
CUAUAAAAGAUGUAACAGAUGCAAACUGUAACACAAGGGCCGUUAACCCUUUCUCUGCCGCCCGGCACGUUCAGCCCCGGCACCCUACACCUAUUGUCCUCGGAGCUACCAGCUUUGCGGAAAACCUGGAA